AUGCUGACAUAAGUAACGAUAAAGCGGGUGAAAAGCCCGCUCGCCGGAAGACCAAGGGUUCCUGUCCAACGUUAAUCGGGGCAGGGUGAGUCGACCCCUAAGGCGAGGCCGAAAGGCGUAGUCGAUGGGAAACAGGUUAAUAUUCCUGUACUUGGUGUUACUGCGAAGGGGGGACGGAGAAGGCUAUGUUGGCCGGGCGACGGUUGUCCCGGUUUAAGCGUGUAGGCUGGUUUUCCAGGCAAAUCCGGAAAAUCAAGGCUGAGGCGUGAUGACGAGGCACUACGGUGCUGAAGCGACAAAUGCCCUGCUUCCAGGAAAAGCCUCUAAGCAUCAGGUAACAUCAAAUCGUACCCCAAACCGACACAGGUGGUCAGGUAGAGAAUACCAAGGCGCUUGAGAGAACUCGGGUGAAGGAACUAGGCAAAAUGGUGCCGUAACUUCGGGAGAAGGCACGCUGAUAUGUAGGUGAAGCGACUUGCUCGUGGAGCUGAAAUCAGUCGAAGAUACCAGCUGGCUGCAACUGUUUAUUAAAAACACAGCACUGUGCAAACACGAAAGUGGACGUAUACGGUGUGACGCCUGCCCGGUGCCGGAAGGUUAAUUGAUGGGGUUAGCGGUAACGCGAAGCUCUUGAUCGAAGCCCCGGUAAACGGCGGCCGUAACUAUAACGGUCCUAAGGUAGCGAAAUUCCUUGUCGGGUAAGUUCCGACCUGCACGAAUGGCGUAAUGAUGGCCAGGCUGUCUCCACCCGAGACUCAGUGAAAUUGAACUCGCUGUGAAGAUGCAGUGUACCCGCGGCAAGACGGAAAGACCCCGUGAACCUUUACUAUAGCUUGACACUGAACAUUGAGCCUUGAUGUGUAGGAUAGGUGGGAGGCUUUGAAGUGUGGACGCCAGUCUGCAUGGAGCCGACCUUGAAAUACCACCCUUUAAUGUUUGAUGUUCUAACGUGGGCCCCUUACCGGGGUUGCGGACAGUGUCUGGUGGGUAGUUUGACUGGGGCGGUCUCCUCCUAAAGAGUAACGGAGGAGCACGAAGGUUGGCUAAUCCUGGUCGGACAUCAGGAGGUUAGUGCAAUGGCAUAAGCCAGCUUGACUGCGAGCGUGACGGCGCGAGCAGGUGCGAAAGCAGGUCAUAGUGAUCCGGUGGUUCUGAAUGGAAGGGCCAUCGCUCAACGGAUAAAAGGUACUCCGGGGAUAACAGGCUGAUACCGCCCAAGAGUUCAUAUCGACGGCGGUGUUUGGCACCUCGAUGUCGGCUCAUCACAUCCUGGGGCUGAAGUAGGUCCCAAGGGUAUGGCUGUUCGCCAUUUAAAGUGGUACGCGAGCUGGGUUUAGAACGUCGUGAGACAGUUCGGUCCCUAUCUGCCGUGGGCGCUGGAGAACUGAGGGGGGCUGCUCCUAGUACGAGAGGACCGGAGUGGACGCAUCACUGGUGUUCGGGUUGUCAUGCCAAUGGCACUGCCCGGUAGCUAAAUGCGGAAGAGAUAAGUGCUGAAAGCAUCUAAGCACGAAACUUGCCCCGAGAUGAGUUCUCCCUGACUCCUUGAGAGUCCUGAAGGAACGUUGAAGACGACGACGUUGAUAGGCCGGGUGUGUAAGCGCAGCGAUGCGUUGAGCUAACCGGUACUAAUGAACCGUGAGGCUUAACCUU
rnacentral:rRNA from 1 species